rnacentral:rRNA from 1 species
GAUGAACGCUGGCGGCGUGCUUAACACAUGCAAGUCGAACGAAGCACUUUAUUUGAUUUCCUUCGGGACUGAUUAUUUUGUGACUGAGUGGCGGACGGGUGAGUAACGCGUGGGUAACCUGCCUUGUACAGGGGGAUAACAGUUGGAAACGGCUGCUAAUACCGCAUAAGCGCACGGCAUCGCAUGAUGCAGUGUGAAAAACUCCGGGGGUAUAAGAUGGACCCGCGUUGGAUUAGCUAGUUGGUGAGGUAACGGCCAACCAAGGCGACGAUCCAUAGCCGACCUGGGAGGGGGACCGGCCACAUUGGGACUGAGGCACGGCCCAAACUCCUACGGGAGGCAGCAGUAGGGAAUAUUGUACAAUGGGCGAAAGCCUAAUGCAGCGACGCCGCGUGAGCGAAGAAGUAUUUCGGUAUGUAAAGCUCUAUCAGAAGGGAAGAGAAUGACGGUACCUGACAAAGAAGCACCGGCUAAAUACGUG